UGCAAGUCGAACGAGGUUUUGGAAAGCUUGCUUUCCGAAACCUAGUGGCGGACGGGUGAGUAACGCGUGAGUAACCUGCCUUUCAGAGGGGAAUAACGUUCUGAAAAGAACGCUAAUACCGCAUAACGUACAGUUACCGCAUGGUAGCAGUACCAAAGGAGCAAUCCGCUGAAAGAUGGACUCGCGUCCGAUUAGCUAGUUGGUGGGGUAAAGGCCUACCAAGGCGACGAUCGGUAGCCGGACUGAGAGGUUGAACGGCCACAUUGGGACUGAGACACGGCCCAGACUCCUACGGGAGGCAGCAGUGGGGGAUAUUGCACAAUGGGGGAAACCCUGAUGCAGCAACGCCGCGUGUGGGAAGAAGGUUUUCGGAUUGUAAACCACUGUUCUUGGUGAAGAUAAUGACGGUAACCAAGGAGAAAGCUCCGGCUAACUACGUGCCAGCAGCCGCGGUAAUACGUAGGGAGCAAGCGUUGUCCGGAUUUACUGGGUGUAAAGGGUGCGUAGGCGGCUAGGCAAGUCAGACGUGAAAACCAUGGGCUCAACCUGUGGACUGCGUUUGAAACUGUUUAGCUUGAGUGAAGUAGAGGUAGGCGGAAUUCCCGGUGUAGCGGUGAAAUGCGUAGAGAUCGGGAGGAACACCAGUGGCGAAGGCGGCCUACUGGGCUUUAACUGACGCUGAGGCACGAAAGCAUGGGUAGCAAACAGGAUUAGAUACCCUGGUAGUCCAUGCCGUAA
rnacentral:rRNA from 1 species